rnacentral:rRNA from 1 species
AACGCUAGCUACAGGCUUAACGCAUGCAAGUCGCGGGGUAACGAGAGGGAAGCUUGCUUUCCUUGUCGACGACCGGCGCACGGGUGAGUAACGCGUAUCCAACCUGCCCAUUACCACGGGAUACCCCGUCGAAAGGCGGCCUAAUACCGUAUGCAGUCGUCAGAUGACAUCAGAGGACGACGAAAGGAUUGGCGGUAAUGGAUGGGGAUGCGUCUGAUUAGGUAGUUGGAGGGGUAACGGCCCACCAAGCCAUCGAUCAGUAGGGGUUCUGAGAGGAAGGUCCCCCACAUUGGAACUGAGACACGGUCCAAACUCCUACGGGAGGCAGCAGUGAGGAAUAUUGGUCAAUGGGCGCGAGCCUGAACCAGCCAAGUAGCGUGAGGGAUGACGGCCCUAUGGGUUGUAAACCUCUUUUAUGCGGGAAUAAAAUGUUUGACGUGUCAUACAUUGUAGGUACCGCAAGAAUAAGGACCGGCUAAUUCCGUGCCAGCAGCCGCGGUAAUACGGAAGGUCCAGGCGUUAUCCGGAUUUAUUGGGUUUAAAGGGAGCGUAGGCCGUCUGUUAAGCGUGUUGUGAAAUGUAGAUGCUCAACAUCUGAAUUGCAGCGCGAACUGGCAGACUUGAGUGUGCGCAACGUAGGCGGAAUUCGUGGUGUAGCGGUGAAAUGCUUAGAUAUCACGAAGAACUCCGAUUG